rnacentral:rRNA from 1 species
UGGGGAAUAUUGCACAAUGGGCGCAAGCCUGAUGCAGCCAUGCCGCGUGUGUGAAGAAGGCCUUCGGGUUGUAAAGCACUUUCAGCGGGGAGGAGGGGAGUAAAGUUAAUACCUUUGCUCAUUGACGUUACCCGCAGAAGAAGCACCGGCUAACUCCGUGCCAGCAGCCGCGGUAAUACGGAGGGUGCAAGCGUUAAUCGGAAUUACUGGGCGUAAAGCGCACGCAGGCGGUUUGUUAAGUCAGAUGUGAAAUCCUCGGGCUCAACCUGGGAACUGCAUCUGAUACUGGCAAGCUUGAGUCUCGUAGAGGGGGGUAGAAUUCCAGGUGUAGCGGUGAAAUGCGUAGAGAUCUGGAGGAAUACCGGUGGCGAAGGCGGCCCCCUGGACGAAGACUGACGCUCAGGUGCGAAAGCGUGGGGAGCAAACAGG